rnacentral:rRNA from 1 species
UCAUUAUUGAAUUACCGGUUAGGGUUUGUAGCUGGCCUUUCGGGGCACGUGCACGCCCGAGCCUUUAAUGCCACACACACACUGUGAACCCAAUGUAAGGGCCCGUAAAAAAGGCUCCUACGUCUUCAUACACGCAUGUUUUGUAGAAUGUAAAAAUCCAUAUCUUCGCUCUAAAACGGCGUUGAUAAACUUAUACAACUUUCAACAACGGAUCUCUUGGCUCUCGCAUCGAUGAAGAACGCAGCGAAAUGCGAUAAGUAAUGUGAAUUGCAGAUUUUCAGUGAAUCAUCGAAUCUUUGAACGCACCUUGCGCUCCUUGGUAUUCCGAGGAGCAUGCCUGUUUGAGUGUCAUUAAAUCCUCAACCCCGAUCGAUUUGUUUCGACCUCGGGGCUUGGACUUGGAGCGUGCUGGCNUGAGUCGGCUCCUCUCAAAUGGAUCGGCGGAAUUCAAUCCUUGGCUUGCGGACGUCAGUGUGAUAAUCAUGUUGCGCUGUCGUUUGA